rnacentral:rRNA from 1 species
CCUACGGGAGGCAGCAGUGAGGAAUAUUGGUCAAUGGACGCAAGUCUGAACCAGCCAUGCCGCGUGAAGGAUGAAGGCGUUCUGCGUUGUAAACUUCUUUUAUCUGGGAAGAAACCUACUUUUUCUAAAGUAGCCGACGGUACCAGAGGAAUAAGCACCGGCUAACUCCGUGCCAGCAGCCGCGGUAAUACGGAGGGCGCAAGCGUUAUCCGGAUUCACUGGGUUUAAAGGGUGUGUAGGCGGGUAUUUAAGUCAGUGGUGAAAUCUCCGAGCUCAACUCGGAAACUGCCAUUGAUACUAUUUAUCUUGAAUAUUGUUGAGGUAGGCGGAAUAUGUCAUGUAGCGGUGAAAUGCUUAGAUAUGACAUAGAACACCGAUUGCGAAGGCAGCUUGCUAAACAAUUAUUGACGCUGAGGCACGAAAGCGUGGGGAUCAAACAGGAUUAGAUACCCUGGUAGUCCACGCCCUAAACGGUGAUUACUGGACAUUUGCGAUAUACAGUGAGUGUCUGAGCGAAAGCAUUAAGUAAUCCACCUGGGAAGUACGUCCGCAAGGAUGAAACUCAAAGGAAUUGACGGGGGUCCGCACAAGCGGUGGAGUAUGUGGUUUAAUUCGAUGAUACGCGAGGAACCUUACCUGGGCUAGAAUGCGCGUGACCGGUUCUGAAAGGAACUUUUCUAGCAAUAGACACAAAGCAAGGUGCUGCAUGGCUGUCGUCAGCUCGUGCCGUGAGGUGUUGGGUUAAGUCCCGCAACGAGCGCAACCCCUAUUUUCAGUUGCCAACACGUAAUGGUGGGAACUCUGAAGAAACUGCCGCCGUAAGGCGUGAGGAAGGAGGGGAUGAUGUCAAGUCAUCAUGGCCUUUAUGCCCAGGGCUACACACGUACUACAAUGGGGAGGACAAAGGGUCGCCACUUGGCAACAAGGAGCUAAUCUCAAAAACCUUCUCUCAGUUCGGAUUGGGGUCUGCAACUCGACCCCAUGAAGCUGGAAUCGCUAGUAAUCGUAGAUCAGCAAUGCUACGGUGAAUACGUUCCCGGGCCUUGUACACACCGC